AUGGCGGCGGAGGGCGGGAGCAGGGAGGACAGGUGGACCCUGGCCGGCGCCACGGCGCUCGUCACAGGCGGCAGCAAAGGAAUUGGGUACGCCAUCGUGGAGGAGCUCGCCGGGUUCGGGGCGAGGGUGCACGCCUGCUCCCGGAACGCGGCGGAGCUGGAGCAGUGCCGCCGGCGGUGGGAGGAGAAGGGUCUGCAUGUCACCGUCUCCGCCUGCGACGUCUCCGUGCGCGCCGACAGGGAGGGGCUCAUGAGCACAGUCCGGCAGACCUUCAACGGCAAGCUGGACAUACUAGUGAACAACGCGGGGCAACUGCUGGUGAAGCCCACCGUGGAGUGCACGGCGGACGAGUACUCCAAGGUGAUGGCUACCAACCUGGAGUCGAGCUUCCAUCUCUGCCAACUCGCGCGCCCUCUUCUGGUACACGCCGGAGGAGGCAGCAUCAUCAACAUGUCCUCCAUUGGAGGCUCCAUCGGUUUUGUUGGCUCCGCAAUCUACGCUAUCACAAAAGGUGCAAUGAACCAGCUUACUAGGAGUUUGGCCGCCGAGUGGGCUCCCAACAAGAUCCGUGUGAAUGGCGUGGCCCCAGGAUUUAUCACAACCGAUAUGAUCAAAGAUAUGGACACAGAGUCCUUGGAGCGGGAGCACUCAAAGUCCCCAUUACUGCGGAGCGGCAAGCCGGUGGAGAUCGCCUCGGCGGUGGCAUUCCUAUGUAUGCCGGCAGCUUCCUUCAUCACCGGCCAGGUCAUUUGUGUCGAUGGCGGUCGAACUAUUAGCGCUUAA
rnacentral:rRNA from 1 species